rnacentral:lncRNA from 1 species
CAGGAGGCACUCAGAGAACGUUUGUGGAAUGAAUAAAUAAAAGCAUAUUUUGAGGGAAUAAAGAAGCAGAAAAACAAAGAAGAAUCUGGGGAAGAUGGGCAUAAAUCUCCACCAAGUGCUGCCAAGGCUUCCCAGGCGAGGCUACUGAAAAGACCCUGUGGAGCGGCUGCUCUGCCUGGGAUAAACACAUUUCAAGAGUCUCAGUCCCCGCUUUGCCACCAUCUCCUCCUCUGAUCUCCUUUCCUGCUUCAAAAGACUCCAGAAUCUUCUCGGUUCUCAGAGAAGGCUGAAUCCACCUAUGACCUAGUGGGUGCACCCUGUGCCGAAACUGUUUACCUUGUGGUCCCCGGAGCCGUGGGUCACGACCUGGGCCUCACGUAGGCCCGCUCCUCAGCAGACCCCAAUCUGCGGCUUCUCCCACCUCACUGGGGAAGAAGGAGAGCCCUGGGGAUGUGGAGAAGCCCCCCCACCCCCGCCACAUCCCCCACAUCUUACAGAAUCUCGAUCGAAUCCCCGGGGGCACAUCCCUCAGCAGGACAGCAACAGUCUUUGCCGCGGCAUGGGGAGGGCUGUGCUGGGGAUGAGCGCCCAGCGGCCGUGGACUAAGUGAAGGAAAUGACCGUGCUCUUCUCCCAGCUGGAUGGCGAGGCCGGGCAGGAACCGCGGAAUUCCUGCUCUUCGUUUUCAAACACUUUGCUGUCAAGCUAUUUGAAUAAUAAAUACACAUUAUAAAAAUGUAAA